rnacentral:rRNA from 1 species
UACAGAGGGGGCAAGCGUUAUUCGGAAUUAUUGGGCGUAAAGGGCGCGUAGGCGGCUUUGCAAGUGACGGGUGAAAUCCCACGGCUUAACCGUGGAACUGCCUGUCAGACUGCAUGGCUUGAGACCAGGAGAGGUGAGUGGAAUUCCCAGUGUAGCGGUGAAAUGCGCAGAUAUCAGGAGGAACACCAAUUGCGAAGGCAGCUCGCUGGGACGUUACUGACGCUGAGACGCGAAAGCGUGGGGAGCAAACAGG